rnacentral:lncRNA from 1 species
ACUAACCGAAUAACUAUCUGCUUACUACUAGAAAUCUAAUCUUAGGUUAUUCAUAUACCCACUCCUUUUAUUCUCAACCCUUAGGCCUGUUGAUAAUCGUGUUAAGUGGCCGAAUUGUACUAACAAUCCGGUGGGCUCGGUAAUCGGUGUUUGAUUUUGACAUUAGUGGCCAGACUAAUAGUCCGGUCGGACUAUUAAUCUCCAAAAAUAGGGGGGGGGGCGGAUGGGUAAUACCAAGGGGGCAUGGUAUUAGAAUCCCAUCCUCCAAUAUGGGUCUAAAUUGACCAAAUACCCUUGAUAUUUGUAAUGUAUAAUUGAAGGGUAAGUAUAAAAAUUCAUGUUAUAAUCUCAUCUAAUUAGACCAAAUUGAUCAAAUUAUUCUUGAUAUUUAACAAUUUCACUGUCUAAUUCUGUGUAAAUCAAACAAGAGGUUGGAUUACCCCAUCUCAUUACUAAUCUCCACUCAUUAUCAAUCUCAAUUGUAAUUUCACCUCAUUACUAAUUCUACCAAUCUUAUCACAUUUAUCAUAUGAGGCCUUGGUUCUAAGCAACCACACCUAAACCUGGAUGCCUUUUCAUUUGCCUUGUUCCCUAAUAGAGGUAGAGCCCGCCUACACUCUCCCUUUCUCUUUUGGACUCUGGCCAUCACUCAUAAGUUCUGCCACGGGCUAUUAUGGUUUUGAACUUGUUAAAUUAUAAAGUUUUUUGUUAUAAACUUGUUAAUUAUUAUAUUUUAUGCUUUGAAAUUUAAUGAUUAAGUUGAUGUUACUAUUGAGGCCCAAAAAAUUAGCCCCCCAAAAAUCGAACCAAAUAUUUCCUAACCGAAUUGUCCGGUUUCUUUACUAGAAUUAUAUAUUUCGGUUUCACAAUUCUAUAAAUUAAAAUUUUCAAUUAGGACUCAUAAUUUAUCUCAAAAUUGAAUCGACUGAACCAAUUACACCAUAAUUUCGCUUGAUGCUUCUUUACUUUCGCUUUUUAUUGCUUAAAAAAAGAAAACUUUCCUCCUUUAUAUCAAUUUUGAUAUAAAUCAGUCAUGACUUAGACAUAAAACUCUCUACAAAUCAGAGAAAUAUACUAGCCUUUUUUCGUGUUCCCGAGAUCGUAGCGCACGUGAAUGCAGAUCGCUUGUUUGGUAUGUGGUCCCAAACUGCAUUGGUUUGCAGUUGGGCAGGCACACGGUUUAUCUCUGAAUUCUCUGCGAAUGGGAACAAAUACACUCACACCGCUAUGAUUUUCAGUGAUUUUUUUUUGGAGGGCUCCACUUGCACAGUUAAGCAAAAAACCGAACCCCUUCAUUUUUUCCGUUGGGACCAUGAACACGAGGCCAGUUGGGUCAAUCUCUCACGGACCCAUUUGGCCUCUAGUUUUUUUUUUUUUUUCAAUUUUCGAAUCAUGAUUUGAAGUUUUUCGUUUUAGUGCUUUAACUGUGGCCAAAAUCUUGCAUAUUUGAAAUUAACCAAUUAGGUUUAUGUGAUAUCGGUUUAGUAAUAGAAUAUAUUCAUUAUAAAUCCUAUGUAUUUUGAAUUAAAUUUAUUUUUGCUAUCACGGUUGAAAUCUAUUGAGUUAAUUCCAUGAUGAUAUUCAUUGAGAUUUAUUUUUUUCCUCCAAACUAUCACUUCUUUUUCUCAAGGUAUGAGACCACAAAGGUUCUUAUUUCAAUGGAUAUUUUUUUUUAAAAAAAUAGACAAUGUUUAACAAUUGAAUCCUUUUCUAGUGGGAAUUCAUAGCAAAAAUUUAAAACAUACUUUUUUCUCUUAUUUUUUUUUGUAUCUAAUAUAUUUUUUUUCACUAUUUGAUUAAUUUUAUAUAUUUUAGUCCUUUUGACGAUAAAAGAUUAUUUAAUUUAAAGACAUUUUUUUAAGAAAUACAAAAAGUAUAACCAUGAAAUUAGGAAAAAAAUACUAACGACAAUAUAAAAUAAAAACUAAAGCAGAUUCCAACUUACCUCAAAUAGAAAGGAAACGGAUUUUCAUCGUCUUUGAUAUUUAUAAUCAUGUUAUUCUAAUUAUUAAUAAAAAUAGCUGAGUUUAAAAAUUUAAGUAAAAAAUUAAAUAUUUAAUAUAAAAUGUUAUCAUAAUAAGACAAAAAAAAUCUAUCCCCUUAAGAUACAACAAUUUUUAAUCUUCCAAACAAAUAUCUAUAUUAUAAAACACAAUCAAUUUGAUCUCUAAACUAUUGUCACUAUCUACUGUUGAAAUACGUUUGAAUUAAACUAACGGCUGAGAUUUCACUUGCGAUAUUUUUUUCCCAAAAAUCACUUCAUACUUCAAAUGUGUGUGAGACCCCAAUAGUGAUUCUUAUCUAAUGGAUAAAAAAUGCUUAGGAGAUGGACAGAUCCAUAGAUCAUUUUUUAGAGCGGAAAAAAACGCACACCAAAAAAAUUAAAAAUCGCUCGGUUUUCUUCAUUUUAUCCCAAACUAUCAAUUUUUUUAAAUAUCUCUUUUAAUUUAUUUUAUAUUUUGGAACAAGUAUCUGUUCGAAGCAUGCCCUGUAUCUUUAUCUGACGUUCUAGAAUAGCUAUUUUUUAAAUUAUUAAAAACUUAAUGAGUACACUUAAGAUAUGAGCUUUUUUUACGUUGUGGCAGUGGGGCAAAAUUACUAUUAUAAUAUAAGACACAAAUAUUUGAAUUUCAACACCCUAUCUUUCAUGAUCGACGGUUGACAGUACAUUGAAUUAUUUCCAACGACUGGAUUUUACCUGAAAUUUUAUUUUGUUUUUCCAAAAAAAUAUAUUUUGAUUGUCCAAAUGUUAUGACCCAAUCGGUUAUAUUAAGGACAAAAAUCUCUAAAAUGGCAUAUUUUUAGCAAUUGACUAUUUUUUAGUGGAUCUACAAAAAAAACAACUAAAAUACAUAUUUUUUUUCAUUUUUCUCAAAUAGCAAACUGUAGUUAAAAUUAUCGUGUAUUAACUUGCUCUCCAUUGUAGUAAUGCAUUAUCUUGUAUAUGUAUACAGAAUAGGUUUUUUGACAUUUAUAUUUUUCUAUUUUGUAAGUAUUAAAAUUCUAAUGAGUACGCGUGAUUCUGUUUUGGGUAAAUAUCAUGACCUCACCUGGAUUUAGGAAAAAAGAAGAAACUCUUAGGUUUAGAAAAUUACCUGACCUCCCUGUUCAGGACCUUUGUCUGCCCACUAUUGCAUUCUCAAAACUACCAUUUUUGCACUCUCAAUCAAGCAGCCCGCCAACCCCCAUCCCUACGCCAUGUCUUUUUAUUUUUUUUUUUAAUAAUUUUUUUUAAUCUAAAUGAUUUCUCUUGUUAUUAGGGUUAUUUUCUUUGGUAAAUAAAUUUUUUAUAUGUGUUUUUUGUUUUGUUUUUUUAAUUAAUUUAUUAGUUUUAGGUAGUUUUUUUUUUAUUAACAAAAAUGUAUUCAUAAUAAAAAAUAAAACAAUUAAAAAAAAUUUAUUAUUAUUUUUUUAAUUCAAUUGUUCGUUGUUUAAUUUUUGUUAUUUUUAUAUAUAUACUUUUAUUUUGAUUCAUAUUUGAUGACUUUUUUUUAACUUUUAAAAUAACAUAAGACUCCAAAAAUUGAUUUUAAAAAAUUUAAAAAAUACUACUAAAAAAAAAUAAAAUAAACAAAACUAAUAAAAAUGACAAAGAGGAUAGCAAAAAAAAUAUAAAUAUUUCACACCAAUACCACACACCUAAAAUUGGUUGUCGAUUCACAAUGUCAAAUUAGGGUGUAUUUUACAGUCGACAACCAAUUUUAAUUUUUAUCGUUAUUUGGUAGUUAGUUUUAUUUAUUUAGUUAGGUUUUUUAAUUUUUAAAUCAAUGAAAAAAAAGUACUGAAAAAAACUAUUAACAAAAAAAACUAUUUUUUGAUUUAGUAUUAUUGAUUCUGUAAUUAACUAUUGUGUGGUAUAAAAACAACAACUAAAUAAAAAAUAAAAAUAAAUAAUAAAAAGAAACAAAAAAAAAAUAGAUAAUAAACAUUCUUUAUCACCAAAAGAAAAAUAAAAUUGAAAAAAAGAGAAAUAUAAAUUAGGAUUUAAAAAAAUAAUUUAAAAAAACUUUAAAAAACUUGAAAAAAAAUAGGGGGUGGGGGUGGGGGGGGGCGGGUGGUGGCUGGUGAGAGGGGCCAAAAUAGGAUUUACAACGUGCAAUAAUGGCAGAACAACAGUCUGACAGGGGAAGGUCAGUGCUAAUUGUUAAAUUAAGGGAUGGUUCUAUUUACUAUCCUAAACCUCAGGGGAGAUCAGUGAUAUUUACUUUUUUUUUAUGUAAUUCGCCAAAGGACAAGUAUAGUUUGCUUUUAAAAACAUGUACUUAUUGACAAUAUCUUUAGUUUCUGUCUUUUUUUAUAGCGUUGGUCUGACAUUUUUUUUUUCUUCCUGUUCUUUUGUGGGAUUCAGUUUUACAAAUGUAAUAGACGUGCAGGGACACGGAGAUAGUGAAAAGGACACAAGCUCGGAGUAGUAAAUGAAAACAAAACUGUCAGUUGAGGCUGACAGGGGAAAGAGCAUUCAAACUUACGGAACUACAGUGAUAAGUUUUACUUCAUCUAUCGACCUAGCACAGGUUACAGACAACGGCUAUCUAGCGAUCUCCUUCCUCUUCUUUUCCGAUUACUGUAACCUAGACCUCACAGUUGGUUCGUUCCCCUUUCUCUCUCGAUUCUCCUCUUGCUCUUCCGAUUACUGUAACCGAGGCUCACAGUUGGUCGUCCUCUCUCUCAAGAUACAGAACAUAUAGGUGUGGGUGAAUCGAAGCUUUGAUUCGGUUUGUUUUUAAUUAGGAUUUUACUCCGAUGUUAAAAUUAGAGGUUUGAUCUCGGCUUAUUAGCGAUUUGGGUGUGUUGUGGUGCGAGUUGUUAAAUAGAUAGUUCAAUCUCGAUUUGUGGUUCACAGAUUCAGAUUGCGAGUAGAUAGGACAGAUAUGCGUACAUAGAUGAUUUACAAUGAUAUGUAAAUACACAAAUGAGUUCUAUUCAUGAAUGAUUAUCUUCCUAAAACAUUAUUAAACUCAUUUAAAAACUUACAGUCAAUCACAGGAACUUGAAGAAUUUUGAAAAGAGGAAAUAAUUUACAUAUACCCAGGACGAAGUGAAUUUAAGUAAACUUGGAACGUGACUCAACUUUUUUUUUUUUUUUUAUUGAGAGGACAAAUUGGAUCUCCAUUAGGUGAUAUUGCAGCGGAAUAUAUACAAGUAUGCCGUGCGGAAAUAAUUAUUCUGGUCUAGUGCUGUAUGUGAACGUUGCACUGACGAAAAAGACGGCAAAUACACCAUGUGACAAAUGUACAAAGAAAACUUGGUGGAUGAAUUCCGAUGAGUAUCACAGCUUGAAAAAACAAGGAGGAUGCAUUAGUCUACUAGGAAACUUGGUAGGAUGAAAAAGGCAGAACACAAAAAACUCGGAAAAGGUGGAAUCAGCCUAGGAUUCGAUUUGACAAUAACAAUUUCUGCGACCACAAGUUGCGUAGCUGAGUAACACGGAUGCAUUCGUUCCAUUAGAUUAUAUGGGGAAAAGAAAUGGGAAACAUCCUCUACCACAUUUAACUAAGGGUGUGGGGGGAAGACCCCGUCUUUUCAACUUCACGCAAGGCUUGUAGACAGGUAGCAAGAAAGGGGAAAAAUAGGAUCCUUGGGCAUUUAGGUCGAGUGGAGAUUGUGGAUGAACCUAUUCUCCUAGAUUUGCAAUGUGUAUUUGAAAUUUCUGCUAUCUCGUUUCUUGCUGUGGGUCUAUUGAACCUUGUCGAUUUUCCCAAACCUGUGUCAAAAGAGUAGUAUAAUACCAAUCUUAUUAGUCACUUACGGAUUAGGGUAGGUAAAUUUUUUUUCCAUCAUCAUCUUCCUUUUCAAUUUUUUCUUGCGAUGGAAGUGAUGAAGUUGUGAUACGUGAUUAGUUUCCUUUUUUUAUGAGUGUCAAACUUGUCUUCAAAUUAUUGUUGUUUGUCGCUAUGGGGAUUUCCUGCAUGGCAUAGGAAAUGGUCCUGCUCCAAUUGGUUUAGAUGGAUAUUCCUUGAAGUCAGAGCAUGUUUCUUCAAUGCAUUUAAUGUGUUUAGGUUGAUGGUUACUUUUUGGCCUUAAUUGUGAGCACGUGAUAUGGUCAAAUAAAUCUUACCAGGACAUGUUCUGAAGAACUGAUUCCCUGUCAAGUCAGCAAUUAUCUUGCGGCUAAAAAAAGUGCUAAUAACUGAUGUGAGGUGGAAUUGGCAUGUUUAAGCGUUUGGUCCUUUUAAUGUGGGUUUUUUGUGUACACAGUGAAAGGGGAAGUAGAGUUUUUAAUUUUGGCUUAUGGAUGUGGCCUUGGAUACGGUUAUGAUGUGGACAGGGGGAGGGCAGUGGGUGUUGGUGUUUUUUGCUGAUCUUGUGCUUGUGGUCAAUUGAGAUAGUGUUGAAUGAGCUCAGGCAGCAGCAUCAGGAGGCAGGAGCAGGGCUCGAUGGAUCACAAUAUCCAUAACUAUACGGCCUUCCUAUCGCGAUGAACCUUACCGAAGGGAUCAGCGGGGUUUCAGGUUGUUUAUGUUCAAUCAUUUAUUAGUAUUCCUUUGUUUCUUUGCUAUUCCUGUACAAAGAUCAUGCUAAACGUGGGAUCUAAAUUAGCUGCCAUAUGUCGGUUUUCUAAGCUGAUAAAUUUCAUUUCACAUUUAUGACGAAUCAACCUUCUGUCUGCAUGAAUGUUCUCUGAGGACCUUUGAACGGAUGACUCAUAUGUGUUGCUUCGGAUAGUGGAUACUCCAACUAUAUCGCUAUAUCUUUCCUUUUCUCAGUAUGUUAUGCAUACACCUAUGUAUAUCUAGUCUCUAGAUAGCUAUUUAGAAUGUUUUUGUACAUGGCCACACUGCAUUUCAAACUAUUCGAAAAAUUUUAAGAGCUAGUGGCUAGCCAAUCUGGAUAUUUGUAUGACUUAACAUCUUCAUUGGCUGGAGUAUACAUAAGCAGGAGCCGACACAUUUGAUCUCAAUCUGUUAAUGUCGAUUCCAAACGUGGUUCCCAUCCAUGUCGUUGAAUUCAGCGUUCAAUUCAAAGUGUCGAUCUCAAUCGCCGACAGAUGUUUGAGGAGGCCGUUGUUGGAAACAUUGAGGAGGCCAAAGUACUGGCUUCCUAACUGCUUGUCCUGAAGUCCAUAGAUGGUGAGAUUGCAAAUCGAUUCAUGAGACCAAUAUCUUCUCUCUUUGGAACAAUGGCAAAGACAAGUGUGUGGAAAUGAAAGGGUAUCUGGGUUUGAAUCUAUGGGGAGUUUAUAGAAAGUGCUACGUUUGUUGCCCUGAACCAUUGUAGAUGAACUGGCUUUCAUCUCUGGCCAAGGCCAGGGGGUUCAAGUGAACACAAAGAACUAUGAGAAAACAAAUUGUCAGUGAAGUGGUAGACAUUUUAGGAAAGAUCUCUACUUCCCGGCAAAGAUGGGUGGUGUAUAUACUUGUGUUGUCUCUUAGAAAACAGUAAUGUUGGUAGUCAACAAUCUUGCAUGUUCACUACUGAAAAGUCGUGCAUUUAAUUUUUGAACUAAUUUCUCCUUUAUUAUUAGGUUUCUUUCUCAAAUUCUAUUUACCAAUGGUUGAAUUUGAGUUUCUUUUUUGAGUAUACAUGAUUAUUGGGCUUAGUUAUUUUGUGUUUUGUUUUUGUAAUUAAGACUUUGUGACUGUCUAGUUGACAACACUGUUUUCAUUCUAGUUUUAUUUUUAACCUUUCCUAACCGAUUGGCAACAAACUACAAAGAAAAAAAAACUUGCCCCAUUAUUUUACACUCUGAAAUUGCAAUAACCGAUAAAAACUAUUUGAUCCUUUUCUAUUUGAAAUUUAAUAUGGUCGCUUGGUUUGCUCAAUUUUUUAUAUUUUUUUGGAUAUUUUUUUGCCAGAAAUUCUAUUUUUUUGUUCUAGGUGAUUUUUUUUUUAUAAUAUUUUUCAAAACCUUUCGUUCUUUUUCAUUUGAUUUUUUGUGACUAAAAAAAUUAUAACAAAUAAUAAAUAAUAAAGGGAUUGUUUUGGAUGGAAGACUUGGUCAUCUCCCAUGUGAAAGGAAUAAAUUACAUCGUAUAUAGGCGGUUGUAAAUUGCUGUAACAUACAUAGGUGGUCAUUUCCCAUGUGAAAGUGGUUGCAGAGUAACGUACAUAGAUGGUCAUCUCCCGUGUGAAAGUGGUUGCAGAGUUACUAAAGGCGAAAAACACAUCAAGGUGCAAAAGACAAUGGAGUCUCAGGUGCGAAGUGAGGUCCCACACUGAAGUCCUACUUUGAAACUUUCAAAUCACCUAGCCUUUUUAAUACAAUAAGACUUUGUUCCGAUAUGUCUUUGCCUGAUAUAUUGUCUCCUCCAAGCUUGGUCCACAAACUCAUAAGCACUUUUCUCAUGUGCUACUGUGAACACUCGUGUUCAUCCUGUCUGAUUUGCCAAAUUGUGUUUCUGUUCAUCUUCUUCAUUCCUCAUCUUUUUCGCGCGCUAUAAUGUUUUGGCUCUCUAAUUAGAACUCUUAAAAGGAUAAUCUUGAGUUAUGAAUAUUUCCUACCUAGAAUAUGAUAAUAAUUAAGUAUCAUAUUGUAAGUCUAUCACUUCCUUCUCUUGGUCUAUAAAAGAAAGAGUAAUGGUGCUGAGACUUCUAUGCUAGUGCUGAGAUUACUAUGCAAAGAGUUAGAGAGAGGUGAGUGGAGUGGGAUUCUCCUCCUUUUAUACUUAUUGUAAUCCCCUUCGAUCGAUUAAUAAUUAAUUGCUCUUUGUAGACGUAGGCAUCAUUGAUCGAACCACAUAAAUCUUUAUUGUCUUGUGUGUAGUUGAUCUGGAUAGUAGAGGGUAACGUGAGUUUUUACCCAACAAUUGAUGAUUCGAUUUUUGAAUACAAUAAUUUAAAACUGUAUUGAAUCUUAUGGGAAGCUUAUAGAAAGCGUGACCGAUUUGUUGCCUUGUCAUGUUGGUGAGCUGCAGUAGACCCUUGGAAAGAUUUUUUGCAACCCAUCCAGUUGAAGAUUGUUGGCUCCAUGAAGUCCAUGGGUAAUGACCUGGUUUUUAAUCUUUUCAGUUGAGGCCAAGGGCUGCAACAUGAACACAAAGAAUUAUAGAAACAAAUUGUUCGUGAAGUGGUAGUCAAUUUAAGGAAAGUAAGGAGAUAAUACUUCCUUCCCAAUGUGUGUGAUGUAAUCUUUGUUUUCUUUGUACGCAAGGCAUCCUAUAACAUUUUCUUUGGGGUUGGCAAAGGUGUGUUACCACAGCCUCAAGGCACUAGACUCACUAGUCCAACCUAAACAAACAAAAAUUUGUUUGAGAAAGAGUUAUGGUCAUCUCCGAUUGAGAUGUUUUUCAGAAUUUUUUUACCUUAAUUUCUGAUUUUUUAUUUUGUUUUUAGUGUUCUUUUCAAAAAAAAUAAAAAAUUCUUUUGAAGAAAUUUCAAAUUCAUUCACGAUUUUGAUUGUUUUGGCUUUUAAAGAAACAAUCUGCACAUGGUUUGGUCUUUCAUUGGUUCUUAAUUUCCAAGGUGCAUUGCCUUCAACGAACAGAGGGAUGACUCCAGUGCGACUCUAAAACUUUUUAUUAAUGGUGUUAUACAAAAAUUUAAACACAAAUUUUAGUUAAUGGAGUCAAAUAUAUUUCUUUUAUGGGUUCAACUUUUCUAAAAAAUAUUAUAUAUAACACAAAAAAAACCAGCUUGGUAUAAUCUGUACCAAGACUCGUAGGGGAAAGAGGGCCUAAGAUCAUCUUUUGUACUAGCCCUCUUUGCCAACUUUCUAUAGCGUUUGUAUAAUUUUUCCACGUGUAGAUUUUUUUAACGACUUAAUCAUGUAUUUUUUUAGUUUCUCCUUGAUGAGAACAGUUUGGUAUAAUAGUCAUGUCUAAAUUUUUAGUCACUCGUGCCAAUACUUAAAAAUACAGUUAAUUGUUGCGCUCAAUAUUUGUUUCUGACCUACCCAUUCGGUCACCAUAAUGAAACCCGAAAAACAAAAGCUCAAUCUUCUACUCUUAUAGCAUUCUAUCCGAUUAUUUCUUUCUUACACUUUCUUACCCCAAAUCCUAAUUCAAGUUUUUCGCGCCAUCUGCAAUAAAAAAAUCUAUCCACUGCUAGGAAUGAUCACAAGAUCAAUUUGUAAGGAGAUAAGUUCUCUGAAUUGGGAUGAUUUAGUGGCCUUCCAAACUCCUGCUUAUGUUUAACAUUUUUGCAAGUGUGUUUGAUGUGAACCAUUUUCAACAUUGACUGGUUGCCUUUGUAUCAUUUUAUUUCACUUUUUUGGGUUUAGUUGCGACCUUGAUAUGGGUCCUUGUUUUUAGUUGAGUUUUGCAUAGAUUACAAGAAGGAACUAUUUAGAAAGUUAAAAGCUAAGGCUCUUGAAAUGAAAAAUGAACGGAUUAUUUUGAGAAAUCUUCCUUCUUCGCGUGCGACGAUACUAGGGAUUGGUAAUAGAAAGUUCAAACUAGAAAUACAAUUUUACAGACACCAUGAUGAUAUAUUGUUAGUUCCUUAAUCACUAUCUAUUUUUACAGACCAUCUAUAUGAUAUGUGAUACCAUGCUCUGGCAUGUCCAAGAGAUUAAAUUUUUUUUGAUUCACAACGACCUCUAUAGAGGAUGGAUCAAUGCCUAGAUUCGGAAUCAGCUGAAAAUCCUCUCCAAGGAAGAAGGGACUGACAUGGACAAAUUAAAACAGAUGCUUCGUUGUCGACAGGGCAAAAACAAAACCGUCGGAAUCUCUCGGCAGCAAGGCAGCUCUGUCAGGUAUUGCAACCACUUGCCUCAUGCUAGGCCUUGAUCUGCCUUACGCGUGGGAGCACAGCGCCCUUAGCUUCAAACAACGACAUUUCAUCAGAGGAGUAAUAACCCCCCAACCUCGGAUCACUUGUCUCGAGAAAUAGCUCCGUGUUUCCACUCUCAAACACCCAAUCCACCAACAUCAUCUCUUCAGGCAAUGCUUGCGGCUCUAUGGGCCGUCUUCCAUACAAGCCACUGUCAAAAGCAAAAUGCCCCGAAACCCAAAGACAUCGUGCUUGUAGUAGCCUUGCCGUUUCUGGUAAGCUCUGGUGCAAGAUAGCCCACGUUCCCAACCACAUGGUAGUUGAAGGGUUUUUUCUUUCUCCAUGAUCAUACAAUCGGGCUAGUCCAAAAUCACCGGCUGGUCAUUCAAUCUGCUCCACAGAACAUUGCUAGCCUUCACUCUUCUAUGAAGAACAACUUGUUUCCCCCCCCUCUUCGUGUAGAUACAUAAGGGCGGAUGCCUACUCCUCUCAGGAUCCGUAACGUGAACCAGUUGAGGUUUGGUUUUCAUUGGGUAAAUAGGAAACUUGUCGAGGGCUUUCGUUGGGCAUAUAUCGUAUACCAAGAGGCCGCUCUCCCUUUCUCGGCUAUAGCAGAGGAGCUUCACCAGUUCCUAUGCCCUAUUCCGUCCCUGCUAGAGAUUCAGCAACAAAUUCGCUUCUCCCUUGGUUUGAAUCAUGACACUUUCUUGACCGCUACCUUUGUUCCUGGACAUGGAAGUACCUCUUUGUAAACCUUCCCGAAACCUCCUGUUCCCAGAAAGCCUUGGUCUUUGAAAACCUUUGUUGAAGCUUUUUAAAGACCUUAUAGGAAAAUCUUCGAGGGCCGUAUUCUGUUCCCAAUCUUCACGUAUUUCUUCGAUUUCUUUCUUCCUCUCUUCAUAGUAAACGAUACCGGCUACCGUGAAGUUUCAGCCAAAACGGCUACUGCUAUCAAUAGAGAUUGUAAGCUCUAGACUAGGUUUUUCACAUUGGAUUUUUUUUCUCUGGGAACUGAGGAAGCUUUGAAACUUCGAGGUUCCUGUCUUGCCCAUUUUUGCUAAGCUCCACCGAGAAUAUAGGGUCUAGUUGCUAUUGCUUGCUCCCGUUAGCAGAAGAGAAACCGACAUACAUUGAAUCCAAGGAAUUGGAGAAAUAUCAUGCCUUGUUGCAGGAGUGGACAAGUUCCGGUUUCCGGGCUUUGGAAAGGAGCUACUCUCACACUGAGUAAAUCUCCCCUUCAUCGUAGUCGAUCCAGACUUGUAAUAGGUUUCCCACUUAUCAUAGCAAGGUCUUGUUGAUUCCUUUCACAUAGUGGAGUAAUACGUAACAUGAGCGGACAGCAUUUGAUAUUAAGCGUGUUGCGACAAAUCAAUUCCAACAUGGUUGUCAUUGAUUCAUUGAAUUAGGGCUCUUUGCAGUAUCAAACUCAACUGCAACAGUGGUUUGAAUCGUUUCCGUUUGUUUGUAAUAAUUGAGGAUUCCCAAAUCCGAGCUUGGUAAGGCUGGCGAAGUUCAUUAGCCGUGAGACGUAAAGGCAAGCCCAUGACCACCAAGAUUCUGUAUUCAAGGACCAUGGCAAAGAACAAAAUAUGUGGAAAUGAAAGAUUUCGAGAUGAUGUAUUCAAUCUUACAGGAUAGAAGCAAUGCCCGGCUUUCUUGCUUUGAAGUAUUUGGGUUAGCUGCCAUAUACGUUGUGGGUGGAUUUCUUCAACAACCGGUCGAGGUGAAGACGGGAUCCAUGGAAGCCAUUGUAGAUGAACUGGUUUUCACUUGAGCUAUGGCCGAGGGUUUCAAGUAAAUACAAAGUAUCAGAACAUAACAGGUAGUAAUUGCGGUAUCAUUUAGGAAUG